AUUUUGGUCCGGCCACUGCUACGGCCCUCUUCCUUGCAUGCCACGCUGUUUUCUUCGUCUUUCCAGUUCGCUCGCUAGAACUUACAUAUGUACCCUACGCUUUGCCACAAACCAUGUCGUAUCUGAUUUGACCCAGCCAGACGGUCCUAUCCAAGCAUGAGCGAGGCGUUUUCGAGUCAGACCGAGUAUCCCAUUGCAAGAUUCAUACCUAACAAGCCAUCGUCAUCCUUCAACAUGGUGAUCGACAACAAGGACUUUGACUAUGGCCACCAAGGGAGGCCCUACGCGGGACGCUAGAUA